rnacentral:rRNA from 1 species
GACGUAGGGCGCGAGCGUUGUCCGGAUUUAUUGGGCGUAAAGAGCUCGUAGGCGGCUUGUCGCGUCGACUGUGAAAUCCCACGGCUCAACCGUGGAAGUGCAUUCGAAACUGCAGGGCUAGAGUCCUGGAGAGGAAGGUGGAAUGCUUGGUGUAGAGGUGAAAUUCGUAGAUAUCAAGCGGAACACCGGUGGCGAAGGCGGCCUUCUGGACAGUGACUGACGCUGAGACGCGAAAGCGUGGGGAGCAAACAGG